GUGAGGAAUAUUGGGCAAUGGGCGAAAGCCUGACCCAGCCACGCCGCGUGAGUGAUGAAGGCCUUCGGGUUGUAAAGCUCUGUGGGGAGGGAAGAAAAAGCGGGAGAGUAACUGCUCUCGUGUUGACGGUACCUCCUUAGCAAGCACCGGCUAACUCUGUGCCAGCAGCCGCGGUAAUACAGAGGGUGCAAACGUUGCUCGGAAUUACUGGGCGUAAAGCGCGUGUAGGCUGACAUGCAAGUCGGGUGGGAAAUCCCAGGGCUCAACCUUGGCACUGCACUCGAAACUGCACGUCUUGAGUACUGGAGAGGGAAGCGGAAUUCCGGGUGUAGAGGUGAAAUUCGUAGAUAUCCGGAGGAACACCAGUGGCGAAGGCGGCUUCCUGGACUGAUACUGACACUGAGGUGCGAAAGCGUGGGGAGCAAACAGGAUUAGAAACCCCUGUAGUCC
rnacentral:rRNA from 1 species